CCAAAGGCUCUUUUCAGAGCCACUCACCUUCUCAAUCAAAAGACGG
rfam:Cricetulus griseus cell line CHO-K1, whole genome shotgun sequence.